GGCGGGUGAGGGGGUUG
rnacentral:miRNA from 1 species